rnacentral:misc_RNA from 1 species
UUUCCGUAGGUGAACCUGCGGAAGGAUCAUUAAUGAAAGUCAAGGAGCGCCCUUUUUAGAGGCUCCGACCCUUUCUAUUCCACAUACCCGCGCACUCGGGGGCGUCGACGCCGGCCAACGAGGCCGUGCACAGGCGCUUUCCGCCCCUUUACACGCUCCAUUCGUAUUGAGGAUGUCGUAAAUUAAUAAAACAAAACAAAACUUUCAACAACGGAUCUCUUGGCUCUC